rnacentral:lncRNA from 13 species
AUGGCAGGAAUAAGGGGGAAAUUCUGGGAAUCGGGGAGAGAUUGCAGGAAUUGGGGAGAAAUUCUGGAAUUGGGGAGAAACUGCAGGAAUCGGGGAGAAAUUGCAGGAAUCGGGGAGAAAUCCUGGAACUGGGGAGAAAUUCCGGAAUCAGGGAGAAAUCCCAGGAAUUGGGGAGAAAUGGUGGGAAUCAGGGAGAAAUCCCGGAAUCGGGGAGAAGUUCCCAUAACUGGGGAAAAAUUCUGGGAUUCAGGGAGAAACUGUGGGAAUCAGAGAGAAAUCCCAGGAAUCGGGGAGAAAUUCUGGGAGAUUUCUGGGGAGAAAUCGCAGGAAUCGGGAAAAAAUCACGGGAAUUGGGGAGAAAUCGCGGGAAUCGAGGAGAAAUUCCAAGAAUCAGGGAGAAAUUGCAGGAAUUGGGGAGAAAUCCUGGGAAUCGGGGAGAAAUCCCGGGAAUUGGGACAGAGCAGCUCCGAGCUCAGCCACAGCCACCCCGUGGCCCUUCUGAGCCCUUCCGGCCUUUCCCAACCUUUCCCAGUUUUUCCCAGCCUUUCCCAGUUUUUCCCCACAGCUUCCUGGCCCUGGCCCAGCUCCAGGAAUGCCUCGGGAUUAGGGAUAGAACCCCAGCACUGGGAUUUUCCAGCUCCCACCGGGAUCCCGCUCCCACGAUCCCGCCGGAUCCGGAUCCAGACUCGCGUUCCGGCGGGAGAACAGCUUGGAAAAGCGCCCACAUUCCCACAUUCCCAACCCGCGGCGCUCAUCCCGCCCGCUCGGCACACGGCACAGCAAAAGAUGGCUUGGAAUGGCCGGGCAUGGCCGGGAAUGGCCGGGAAUGGAUGGGAAUGGAUGGGAAUGGGCUGGGAAUGGGCUGGGAAUGGGCUGGGAAUGGGCUGGAAUGGCCAGGAAUGGGCUGGGAAUGGGCUGGGAAUGGGCUGGGAAUGGGCUGGGAAUGGCCGGGAAUGGCCAGGAAUGGGCUGGGAAUGGGCUGGGAAUGGGCUGGGAAUGGGCUGGGAAUGGCCGGGAAUGGGUGAAAAUGGAUUGGAAUGGCCGGGAAUGGCCUGGAAUGGAUGGGAAUGGAUGGGAAUGGGCCGGGAAUGGCCGGGAAUGGGCUGGGAAUGGGUGAAAAUGGAUUGGAAUGGCCGGGAAUGGCCUGGAAUGGAUGGGAAUGGGCUGGGAAUGGGCUGGAAUGGAUGGGAAUGGCCGGGAAUGGCCUGGAAUGGCCUGGAAUGGAUGGGAAUGGAUGGGAACAGCCAGGAACAUUUGGGAAUGGCCUGGAAUGGCUUGGAAAAUCCUGGGAUGAAGCUGGAGCUGGGAAAAGCCGGGAAAAGUCCCCCUGGAAUUUCCGUUCCUUUGUUCCAUCCCUGUUUUCCAGGAUUCCAUCCCGAAGCCUGGAGCAGGGAAGGGGCCGGGACCUCCGGGGGUGUCCCUGUGGGAAUUCCCGGCUCACCCCUGGGAUGGGAUCAGCCUGGGGACCGGGACAGGAGCGGGAAUCCCAAAUCCCUGCGAGCGCUGGGGACGCGCUCCGGGGGGGAGCAGCAGCUCCCGGGGCUGGUUUGGGAUCGGGAUCGGGAUUGGGAUCGGGCUCUUUGCCAGGCCCUGUGGGAACAGAGGAGCUCCGAGGCCACAGGAAGAGGUUGGGGCAGAAACUGGGACAAAGCCUAAGGAAAAACCGGGAUAACCCCGGAGGAAAAACCGGGAUAACCCCGGAGGAUCGGGAGGAUCCCGACGUUUGUCCUUCGUCACCUCCCACCCCACGGCACCUCCGUCCCCUCCUUUUCAGCCCCAAAACGCUGCCCCAGUGCCACCAGUGCCACCAGUGCCGCCGGAGCCGGGCACAGCCAGCGCUUCCAGAGGCUCCGGGAAAACCCCACGGCGCCAGGGGGUCCCGGCUCAGCCACAUUCCCACGGGAUUUUUCCUGCGGCUGUCACAACGAGCCAGCCCUGAGGCACAGCUGCUCCUGCACCGCCCGUGGCCGGCACGGCUCGGAGCUUUUCCCAGCUUUUCCCAGCCUUUCCCAGCUUUUCCCAGCCUUUCCCAUUCCCUUUCCUGCCCUGGGCUUUCCACACCUGAGCAGGGACCAGUCUGAGCCUUUCCCAGCCCCAUUCCUGCCUUUCCCAGCCUUUCCCAGUUUUUCCCAUUCCCAUUCUUUCCCUCAACUCUCCACACCUGAGCAGGGACUGCUCUGAGCCUUUUCCAGCAUUUCCAAGCCUUUCUCAGCCCCAUUCCAGCAUUUCCCAGCAUUUCCCAGCCUUUCCAAGCCUUUCCCAGCCUUUCCCAGCCUUUCCCAUUCCCAUUCCCUGCUCUUAACUCUCCACACCUGGGCAGGGAACCGCUCUGAGCCUUCUCCAGCCUUUCCAAAUCUUUUCCAGACUUUCCAAUCUUUUCCCAGCCCCAUUCCAGCCUUUCCCAGCCUUUCCAAUCUUUUCCCAGCCCCAUUCCAGCCUUUCCCAAUCUUUUCCAGACUUUCCAAUCCUUUCCCAGCCCCAUUCCAGCCUUUCCCAGCCUUUCCCAAUCUUUUCCAGACUUUCCGAGCCUUUCCCAGCCCCAUUCCAACAUUUCCCAGCCUUUCCAAGCCGUUCCCAGCCUUUCCCAUUCCCAUUCCUGCCCUGGGCUUUCCACACCUGAGCAGGGACCAGUCUGAGCCUUUCCCAGCCCCAUUCCUGCCUUUCCCAGCCCCAUUCCUGCCUUUCCCAGCCUUUCCCAGCCCCAUUCCUGCCUUCCCCAUUCCCACUCCUUCCCUCAACUCUCCACACCUGGGCAGGAACCGCUCUGAGCCUUUCCCAGUCUCUCCCAGCUUUUCCCAUUCCCAUUCCUGCCCUGGGCUUUCCACACCUGGGCAGGGACUGCUCUGAGCCUUUCCCAGUUUUUCUCAGCCUUUCCCAGUCUUUCCCAUUCCCACUCCUUCCCUCAACUCUCCACACCUGAGCAGGGACCAGUCUGAGCCUUUCCCAGCCUUUCCCAGUUUUUCCCAGCCUUUCCCGCCCCCAUUCCCACCCUCAUCCCCCCACCCCUGAGCAUCACAGGUGUAUCCCAGCUGGAUCUCCCAUCCCAGGGCCCGCAGCGCCAUUCCCAGCCCGUAUUCCCGGUGAUCCCGCCGGGAAGGGCUUACCUGGAUCGGGUGUCACGGGCAGGGCUCGCAGCGCUCCCUCCUCAUCCACCUGCGGGGGACAGAGCAGGGACACGUCAGGGCAGCUCCCACAGCCCCGGGAAUGGGAAUGGGAAUGGGAAUGGGAAUGCUGCAGCCAUGGGGGAUGGGAGGAUUCCCAGGGCGAGGACAGCAGGGACACGGAAGGGCACCCACGGCGUCCCACGGAAGUCAAAAUUCCGGGCUCUGAGAAUUCCUGCCACAGGAGCCCGUCCUUAUCCUGAACAUUCCUGCCACGGGAGCCCGUCCUUAUCCCCAGAAUUCCUGCCACAGGAGCCCGUCCGUAUCCUGAACAUUCCUGCCACGGGAGCUCAUCCUUAUCCCGAGAAUUCCUGACACAGGAGCCCGUCCUCAUCCCGAGAAUUCCUGACACACAAACUCCUCCUUAUCCCAAGAAUUCCUGACACACAGAUGCAUCCUUAUCCCGAUUAUUCCCACCACACAAACUCAUCCUUAUCCCGAGAAUUCCUGCCACAGGAGCCAAUCCUUAUCCCGAGAAUUCCUGACACACAAAAGCAUCCUUAUCCCGAGAAUUCCUGACACGCAGAUGCAUCCUUAUCCCAAGAAUUCCUGACACAGGAGCCCGUCCUUAUCCCGAGAAUUCCUGCCACGCAAACUCCUCCUUAUCCCGAGAAUUCUUGGCACACAAAAGCAUCCUUAUCCCGAGAAUUCCCACCACAGGAGCCCGUCCUUAUCCUGAACAUUCCUGCCACACAAACGCAUCCUUAUCCCGGGAAUUCCUGACACAGGAGCCCGUCCUCAUCCCGAGAAUUCCUGACACACAAACUCCUCCUUAUCCCGGGAAUUCCUGACACAGGAGCCCGUCCUUAUCCCGGGAAUUCCUGACACACAAACGCAUCCUUAUCCCGGGAAUUCCCGCCACAGGAGCCCGUCCUUAUCCCGGGAAUUCCUGACACACAAACGCAUCCUUAUCCCGAGAAUUCCUGACACAGGAGCCGAUCUUUAUCCCGAGAAUUCCCACCACAGGAGCCCAUCCUUAUCCCGAGCUGUCCCAGUGAGAGCCGCGGGAACAUCCCCGGGAUGGGGGCGAGGGAAGAUGGAUGGCGGGAUCCUGGCUCCCACCCUGGAUCACUGGGAAUUCUCCAGUCCCUUUCCCGCCCUGGAUCAAUGGGGUUUUUCCAGCACCAAUCCACCCUGGAUCAAUGGGAUCCUCCAGAACCCGUCUCAUCCCAGGUCAGUGGGAUCCUCCAGCACCAAUCCACCCUGGAUCACUGGGAUCCUCCACCUCUCCCACCCCAGAUCAAUGGGAUCCUCCAGCACCAAUCCACCCUGGAUCACUGGGAUCCUCCACCUCUCCCACCCCAG